rnacentral:rRNA from 1 species
UACGAAGGGGGCUAGCGUUGCUCGGAAUGACUGGGCGUAAAGGGCGCGUAGGCGGCUUGCACCGUCAGAUGUGAAAUUCCUGGGCUUAACCUGGGGGCUGCAUUUGAUACGUGUGGGCUUGAGUGCGGAAGAGGGUCGUGGAAUUCCCAGUGUAGAGGUGAAAUUCGUAGAUAUUGGGAAGAACACCAGUGGCGAAGGCGGCGACCUGGUCCGUGACUGACGCUGAGGCGCGAAAGCGUGGGGAGCAAACAGG